UCUCCGGUGGCCUAGUGGUUAGAGCGUCCUCCUCAAAUGCGGGAGGUCGUGGAUUCAAACCUCAGCCGAGUCAUACAA